AGCUUGCUGGAUGCUGACGAGCGGCGGACGGGUGAGUAAUGCAUAGGAAUCUGCCCGAUAGUGGGGGAUAACCUGGGGAAACCCAGGCUAAUACCGCAUACGUCCUACGGGAGAAAGGGGGCUCCGGCUCCCGCUAUGGGAUGAGCCUAUGUCGGAUUAGCUAGUUGGUGAGGUAACGGCUCACCAAGGCCACGAUCCGUAGCUGGUCUGAGAGGAUGAUCAGCCACAUCGGGACUGAGACACGGCCCGAACUCCUACGGGAGGCAGCAGUGGGGAAUAUUGGACAAUGGGGGAAACCCUGAUCCAGCCAUGCCGCGUGUGUGAAGAAGGCCCUCGGGUUGUAAAGCACUUUCAGCGAGGAAGAACGCCUAACGGUUAAUACCCGCUAGGAAAGACAUCACUCGCAGAAGAAGCACCGGCUAACUCCGUGCCAGCAGCCGCGGUAAUACGGAGGGUG
rnacentral:rRNA from 1 species